rnacentral:rRNA from 1 species
CACUGUGGGCUCUGCCUGCAUGUGCUUGCCAGAGGACCAAACUCUGAAUUUUAGUGAUGUCUGAGUACUAUAUAAUAGUUAAAACUUUCAACAACGGAUCUCUUGGUUCUGGCAUCGAUGAAGAACGCAGCGAAAUGCGAUAAGUAAUGUGAAUUGCAGAAUUCAGUGAAUCAUCGAAUCUUUGAACGCACAUUGCGCCCUGUGGUAUUCCGCAGGGCAUGCCUGUUCGAGCGUCAUUACAACCAAAAUUAAGCUCAGCUUAGUGUUGGGGUUCGCAGUUCUGCGGCCCUUAAUGCCAGUGGCAGUGCCUGUAGGCUCUGAGCGUAGUAAUUCUUCUCGCUAUAGAGUCCUAUAAGUGUCUUGCCAGAACCCCCAUAUUUUUUCAGGUUGACCUCGGAUCAGGUAGGGAUACCCGCUGAACUUAAGC